rnacentral:rRNA from 1 species
GUCCACGCCCUAAACGAUGUCAACUAGUUGUUGGGGAAGCAAUUCCUUGGUAACGCAGCUAACGCGUGAAGUUGACCGCCUGGGGAGUACGGUCGCAAGAUUAAAACUCAAAGGAAUUGACGGGACCCGCACAAGCGGUGGAUGAUGUGGUUUAAUUCGAUGCAACGCGAAAAACCUUACCUACCCUUGACAUGUCUGGAAUCCUGCUGAAAGGUGGGAGUGCCCGAAAGGGAAUCAGAACACAGGUGCUGCAUGGCUGUCGU